rnacentral:rRNA from 1 species
CCUACCUAUAAGACUGGGAUAACUUCGGGAAACCGGAGCUAAUACCGGAUAACAUAUUGAACCGCAUGGUUCAAUAGUGAAAGGCGGCUUUGCUGUCACUUAUAGAUGGAUCCGCGCCGUAUUAGCUAGUUGGUAAGGUGACGGCUUACCAAGGCAACGAUACGUAGCCGACCUGAGAGGGUGAUCGGCCACACUGGAACUGAGACACGGUCCAGACUCCUACGGGAGGCAGCAGUAGGGAAUCUUCCGCAAUGGGCGAAAGCCUGACGGAGCAACGCCGCGUGAGUGAUGAAGGUCUUCGGAUCGUAAAACUCUGUUAUCAGGGAAGAACAAAUGUGUAAGUAACUGUGCACAUCUUGACGGUACCUGAUCAGAAAGCCACGGCUAACUACGUGCCAGCAGCCGCGGUAAUACGUAGGUGGCAAGCGUUAUCCGGAAUUAUUGGGCGUAAAGCGCGCGUA